ensembl:lncRNA
GCACAAUUCGUCCUCAAUAUUUUCAAUGGCAAUUAAGACAUAGCAGACAUCAGAAACCCUGCCUUUGUUAUUCUUUUAUUGAUUACUAUAAUUAAUUAAUACCAGCUAUGGCUAAUAUUACCGGAAGUCUACGUCCAGCAAAGUACUAACCCAUUCAUUUAAAUGGGCUUAAACUAAUAAUCCAGCAGAGGGCGCUGAAGGCCCUUUCACACACCUCACAAAACGGACAUCAGCCAAGGCGAAAACGUAUGCAAGUAUUUAUUGGUCCUUACAUGUUCUUGUUUCACUGUUGAAUGCCGGCGUGUUACAUGAUCAAUCGAGUGCUUUGCCAUAACGGCGGUAAAGCUAAAAUGGUGAGGUUCAUUUCAGCGAUGGAGAAGACUGCAGUCUCUAGUUGACCAGCAGGAGACUCACUUCUUUCCUGUAAAAACAAUACAGUCGAUCAGAAAGAACAUGCUUAACACUAAUAUAGAAAAACACCUUCACUUCAAAAUAGUCUUUUAAAAACGGGAGAUAAGAUGACGAUUUGACAGCCGAUAAAUAGAAUAAAACCGCAAGGAAUAUCUCCUUACCAAAUCAUAAUAGACUUGAGAUUAAUUAAGCAAAUCUCAUCUGAUCAUCCAACACUAGAGUGGGUAUUGAAAUGAGGACCGAUAUAGAAUCACUUUGACUCUGCGUCUGUCUGUGUGAUCCUCUUCCACACACAUCCUUUAAAAUAGGUCACAUUCCACUCUCCACACAGCAUCCUGAGGACUUAUCUGUUCAUCACACGCACUCACAAAGGCAAGGUCACACUUCUGUCUUACACACACACACACACACACACACACACACACACACACACACACACACACACACACACACACACACACACACACACACACACACACACACUGAGUUUGGAUCACUCCAGUAUGGGAUCUCUCUUUGGCCAAGGGAUACGUCUGACAGGAGGAUUUACAAAUACCACUAGGGUGUCUCCUAGAGGAAAGGAGUGUCUACUAGUCUGUCUCCUAGAGGAGAGGAGUGUCCACUAGUCUGUCUCCUAGAGGAGGCGGGUGUCCACUAGUCUGUCUCCUAGAGGAGGCGGGUGUCCCCUAGUCUGUCUCCUAGAGGAGGCGGGGGUCCCCUAGUCUGUACCUGGGAGCUUCAGCCACUUGGGGACCUUGCCGGCGUCCGGUCCCGCCCGCUGAGGGGGCUGGCUGUGGGCCGUGGGGGGGGGCGGUCCGUCCUGUCGGCCCCCCUUAGGCUCAGAGGGGGGGCGUCCGUCCUCUGGGGAGGGGGGCAUGCAGCUGGACCCCCGAGGUGGAGGACAGGAGGAACCGUUUAGUCGCAGUGAGAGACCCUCAGAGGAACCCUGGCCCAUUACAACGCUCCAACUGUCUUCACCACGGGCACGGUGACCAUACCCCUUAGGGCCCCUUAGGGCGCGGUGACCGUACCCCUUAGGGCCCCUUAG